UUACAAGUAGAGUUUACGAACUCUUAAACCCUUUGUGAACCUUACCUAUCGUCAGUUGCUUCGGCGGGAGGCCCCUGGGAGGGGCCCCGGGGCCCGGCCUGAGCCGGGCUCCCGCCGGAGGAGCGCAAACCAAACUCUUGCUGUACCUCAGUGGAACAUCCGAGUUAAAAAUAAAAAACAAGUUAAAACUUUCAACAACGGAUCUCUUGGUUCUGGCAUCGAUGAAGAACGCAGCGAAAUGCGAUAAGUAAUGUGAAUUGCAGAAUUCAGUGAAUCAUCGAAUCUUUGAACGCACAUUGCGCCCGCCAGUAUUCUGGCGGGCAUGCCUGUUCGAGCGUCAUUUCAACCACUCAGGCCCUGGUGCCUGGCGUCGGGGUUUCUUGCUUCGGUAAAAUCCCCUAGAAUCAGUGGCGGACCCGCCGCGGCUCCGAGCGUAGUAGUAAAAUAUCUCGCUAUGGAGGCCCGUGGGGGGAUUACCGGCCGUAAAACCUCUUCUUCACGGAAGAACUUUCUCAAGGUUGACCUCGGAUCAGGUAGGAAUACCCGCUGAACUUAAGCAUAUCAAUAAGCGGAGGAAAAGAAACCAACAGGGAUUGCCCCAGUAACGGCGAGUGAAGC
rnacentral:rRNA from 1 species